UUUAGGGAAUAUUCUGCCCUUUUAAUGCCUAAUAGUCGAAUGGUAUAUAAAUUGUAGUUGAAGUGUGGACUGAUCGGGUAAUUAACAAACUAUGCACAUUUAGGGUAAUAAGGUUUCAUAUAUGGUAUAGUUAGGAAAAAAUCCCUUUAUAUAGCAGUAAAGGAAAUUAGCCCAAAGUUUAUUUAUAAUUGAGCUUGUUGUUUUCUGUUAGUUCAUUUUCUCUGUACCAUACCAUGAAAUCAGCAUUUUUUUUUUACUCUGCAGCUACGAAAUUCUUUUCAUAGUGGACACAGAGAAGCACCGGACUGAAGGAACCAUACUUUACUUUUUGUUCAAUUCACUGCUGGUGUGCUUGCUUGUUCUUCACAUCUUUUGGAUGAGACUCAUAUUACGGAUGGUUAACGAUCUCAUAACAAAAGGCCACAUAACUGAUGAUGUCCGAUCAGAUUCUGAAUCCGAUGAUGAGCACAAAGACUAAUCCUUCAUUAAAUAAGAUUUAUUAAAAAAAAACAUGGAUUAUGAUUCAGCAAAGGUUCGAGGCAUUAUAGGCGUCGCUGAAAGGUAUUGUCUUGGGGGCACCAUUAAUUGAUGUUGAUGAACAAUUAAACUAGGAAAAUUACGGCCAAACCCUUUAUUCGGAGUUCCAAUAAUGUGUAUUUUGCCUAUAUGUAUAAAACGAGUUUCAUUAUUGGAAUUAUGAGCUCUUCGGAUGAACUUUCAAUUUAA